rnacentral:rRNA from 1 species
CCUACGGGAGGCAGCAGUGGGGGAUAUUGCACAAUGGGGGGAACCCUGAUGCAGCGACGCCGCGUGGGUGAAGAAGCGCCUCGGCGCGUAAAGCCCUGUCAGCAGGGAAGAAAAUGACGGUACCUGAAGAAGAAGCCCCGGCUAACUACGUGCCAGCAGCCGCGGUAAUACGUAGGGGGCAAGCGUUAUACGGAUUUACUGGGUGUAAAGGGGGCGCAGACGGCGAUGCAAGCCAGGAGUGAAAGCCCGGGGCUCAACCCCGGGACGGCUCUUGGAACUGCGUGGCUGGAGUGCAGGAGGGGCAGGCUGAAGUCCUGGUGUAGCGGUGAAAUGCGUAGAUAUCAGGAGGAACACCGGUGGCGAAGGCGGCCUGCUGGACUGAAACUGACGUUGAGGCCCGAAAGCGUGGGGAGCAAACAGGAUUAGAUACCCUGGUAGUC